AUUAAAUAAUUGAAAUGAAACAAAAUUGGUGAAUUUUAAUCCAUGCUUAACUUUUGAAGCAAGAGCUAUAAAAUUUUUGCAACAAGAGCGUCAAUGGAACCAUCCCGAAGAGCUGAUUGAACAGCGGUCCUUUCCUGUGUGUAACCAACGAUGCGAUAAUUUUUUGGAUUAAAACUUUCUAAUAAAUCAAUUAAAUGAUCCAAAAUUAAUAAUAAAAUAAAAAGGAUAGGAAGAAAGAAGAAAAGCUGGUUGAGAAUUGCUCGAUGCUUUUACUUACAGCAAACAGAAGCAGUUUCGACUCGUUCCCUGCUCCUUUGUCUGGGCCUUUCAUCCUCUACGCUUACUUUUUGGGUCUCAAAGAAACCCAUUAAUUACAUUAAUGAAAUUUCAUGGCUGCAUCGUCGUCAUCAUCAGCUCAGCUCCGGUUCAUCGCAAGUUCGAUCUCAAAUCCAUCAUCAGCCCGACCCACCUGAGGUCAUCUAUUAAUUUCUAAUUAGUAUCAUUAAUAAGUGAUUUAGAGCUUAUUCUAUUUUUUCUUGGGAGCAUUAGGGGUUCCAGAUCAUGAUUUUUUUUUAAAAUUUUUAUUAAGGUGGUGUUUAAAUAGUUAUCUGCAUAUAUUUCUUGUUUGUAUGCAAGUAUGUUAUAAUUGGAGGUAAAUCAAUUAAAGUUUUGAGCUGCUAAGAUUGUGGAUUUAUGAUGAAUGAUGUUUGUAGGACUACUAGUGAGAGUAAUGCAUAUUAUAGAGUUGAAUUCUUUGAGGACAUAGGAAGUUACCUUGCAAUUGGAUACAUGGUGAUACCAAACGGUGGAUAGAUUCACUUGCGUGCGUGCUAAAUGGUUGUGUUUGAUGUAAAAUAACUUCUUCUACUGUGACUGAGACCAAGAUUUGGGAAUCAGCAACUCAGCUCAAAGGGGCAUGAUUUGGAGGGCAUUGUGUUUCAGUUGCAGAAAAGUUAAAUGAUUGUGCGUAUUAAGUUAACCUUCUUUGUCAUUGUAAAAGAUUGUUCUAUUGGUGAUUGUAAUCGUAUUCCAGUCUUUGCCUCCUCUAAUUUAUCCUUUCAUUGUUCUUUUAGCACUUGGCCUCUCCACAGGUUUUAAUUUCUGUGUGUCAGCAUCUGAGUGUAGUUGCUCUUCAUUUUUCUUUAGAACUUCAGUUCUGGGUAGAUCUUUGCAAGCUCCAAACAAAAUAUGAGGAUUUUGCUGAGAGAUUUACAACGAAUUCUCAUCUUGGGUACACUUUUCUGGUAUUUUUACAUGUACAUUUACUUUCCCUGAUUAAAUUAGAAAGUCAUGACAGAAAAUGAGUUCUUCUCUUGCUGCAAACUAGACGUAUUGUUGUACCUAGUCAAUUAACUUAAGUUUGAUAAUUUCUAAUUCAUGGUGAAUUCACUUUUGUAUUUGGCAUGUUUCCUUGGAUUGUUACAUUGGACUAUUGGUUGCAUGAUGAGAAUGUUACUUCUACAUGCAAGUUUCCGGAUUUUAUAUGCCAGAUCCUAUUGCUCCAUUAGUUUGUCUUCAUGAAUCAUGACAUCUACUUAUUGAACAAACAAGAUAAGUCUUCAUGUCCUCAACAUAUUGUACAAACAACAUAAGUCUUUUGCUCCAUUAGUUUGUUUUCAUGCCAUAAAUUUCAUAUGCCACAGUUUGCUCCAUUAUUUCAUCUUCAUUUCAGUUAUCAAAUCUGUUGAAAUUGUGAUUCUGCAUUCCCGCUCUUAAUUUACAGCGCCUAGUUGUUGCUUCAGAAGAGAUAAGCUACACCACAAAUGGAUUGACUAAAAGAUUGCCUUUUCAAUUGAGCUGAUGCAUCUAAAAUGAAGAGUUGACAAGAAUUUUCGUUGAUUUUUCUGGAUGCUACUGAAUGCUAUACUAAUUUGACCUUGGCAAUAGUGUUCCACAAAUUUAUAUUUUACAUGACAUUUUGAGAACUUGGACAACAUCAAAUUACAUCAGAAAUGAGUGCAGUUUCCAUGUCAAGUUGUUCUUCUAUUCUCCUGAACUAGAAAGUUUCUCUAGGAUCUGUAAAAAUUCUUGUGGGUUCAUUUUUUGCUGCAUCACUCUGAAUACACAAUUUAUUGAGUAGUUUUGCUUAUUUGUGAACCCUUUUAAGCAAGGUAUGUAAUCUUGCUUUGCAGGAAGCAUCAACUUAUUAGGAAGGGCUGCUGUGUCUUUUUCCAGCCUGUCUUAAGUUUACUGUGAUGGUGCGCUCUGCAUAUGGAUAUUAUUCAGGAUGCAUGGUCACCCUGCCACAAUGUAUCUGCAAUUUUGACAUCUGUUCAGCUAAUAUGCAAACCACCUUAUCUCUCUGUUUGAUAUCUAUUAAAAGCUAUGAAUAUGUUAAUGUUACCUUUCUUUUCCCUUUCUUAUUUUUCAUUAACUGAUAAAUAAACCAUUGCAGUCGCUUGUCACUGACCCAAAUCCUGCAAGUCCUGCAAAUCCUGAGUCUGCCCCGACUGUACGAAAACGACAUUCAGGCUUAUAACUAGUUCGUAGCUUGUUAUUUAUUUA